rnacentral:rRNA from 1 species
GUUCCCGGGGCUUGUACACACCGCCCGUCACACCACGAAAGUGGGCAACACCCGAAGCCGGUGGCCUAACCCUUGUGGAGGGAGCCGUCGAAGGUGGGCUCGCGAUUGGGUG